GCAAAGGACAUCGGAACCCCAUGGGCCCAACUGAAGGGGGCUGCCCAAAGCCGGGUCCGUUGGCGAGGUGUUGUUGCGGCCCUAUGCUCCUCGAGGAGUAACAAUGACUAAACUAACCGAUGCUCACCGGCGACAAACAUCGCACAUCUUAUGUGUCUAUAUACACACUGCUGGCGGCAACUUAACUGUUUGAUGUCUCUAUCUCAGUGGUGUAGCUAAAGUAGGGCAGAGCUUAGAAAAUUGAGACCGGCCCGCAACACCUGGAUUAAUCUACUAUGACUGUGUCCUGCACAAUAGUCUGAAUUGAGUCGAUGGAUUUUGCUUCACCAAAAACCCUAUAGGUACAGUACUGUCUGUGGAGCCAUUUAGAUGACUUCAAAAUUCCGUAUUUAUGGAUCCAGGAGCGGCAUUUCUGGUAGUUGUGUGUGUUUUGUUGCACUAAAUAAAUUAAAAAGGAAUGUAAGGAAGGUGCUUUCGCUUUUAGUAUGUUAAACUGGUAUUAAAAGCACAUCUUUUUCUGUUUAUUAAUGCAUUAGCUAACUCUUCUUCAUUACUGUUACCUCUGCAUCGUCCCCAUAUAGCUCAUCUUUCCAUUCCUUCAUGGGCCACUUAUAUUCACCUAGUCUUUCUCCUAUAAGCUCUGAUUGAGCGUGAUUCUGCGCUAUUACGUUGUUGUUGCUGUUGUUAAAUACUUCAAUUAAUAGGACGAUGUCACUACAAUGAUGCGCAAACCUACCAGGUGUACAUGUAUACCUAAAGUAAGACAAAGUCAGAAUGUAGGAAUAAUGACAAGAAAACAGGUCAGUAAGCACCACUAGUGGCCAGUAGCAAAUAGCCCAGGUCAGAGUCUACUUUGUUUAUUUGUCUCAAAUAAGAAAAAUAUAAUGAAUACAGAAAAUCUUGUAAGACUUCAAUCAAAAAAAUUGUCCAUAUAUCUAGUUUACAGUGUGUGUGUGUGUAUAUACAUAAUUCUCUUCUUUCUGCUAACGGGCUGUGAGCCUUAUCGUGUCCUAAGAAAAAAACAUGUAAAAAUGAUGUAUAAUCAAUACACUGGAACUGCUGACUCUUCAUAAAUCUUUAAGAAGCUUCUCGUUUGUGGACAAGUGAUAACAAGUGGAGCAAUAUGAUUCCCAUCAGCCUGACUACACAUGCUAUUUGAUUGUACACGCAGAUGUUUGUGCUUAAAGCUGCUUAGUAACAGCAUCCAACCUACAGCAUUGGAGGAAAUGAACUCAGUAAGAAUACCAGUAUUAGUUACAAUCACUACAUGUUAGGAUAUUACACAAUCUUUCAUUUAACAACAAACAUCAGUCAUGAGGACCAGACUAA